CAGCAGCAGGCAGAAGGCAGCAGCAGCAGGCAGCAGCCAUCGUGACGGGCACGCGUUUAGUUCUGUGCGAUUCAUUGAAGCGUUUGGACACGUUGUCGGUGCGUGUAUUUCCGUUCGUCGUCGCUUUAAUCAACGCAAACCGACUUCGCCUCGUCUCGCAGUGUGCGUGCGUGUGUGUGUCUGUUUCUUUGCGCGUCUGUGUAUGUGUGCGUGUAACGCGCUUUACAGCAGCCAAAACAACCAGCAAAUACAGCAACAACAACAGCAACUGCACAUAAAUAUUAUCGCAUUAUUUGUGCAUCUUUUGUUUUACGCAACAACAACAACAACAACAACAAAUGCUCAAAGGACUUGCAAAUUCUUGAGUGUGCGGAAAAGUGCCGCAAAAGUGUUACGCGUGGAAUAUUAACAGCAUUCACAACAACAACAACAACAACAAGCGCAUCAGCUGCAACAACAACAAUAACCGUUGCAGCAACUGCUGCAGCGUACGUCGGCUUCAUUGGAUAGUCAUAUUCUUAGAAGAAGCAGAAGCAGAAGAAGCAGAAGAAGAAGCGGCUGCAGCCAAACGUUGCGCGGAACCAUUUUGCAAGUGCAGCGGGCGCAUAAGCGCCGCUUUGGCGGCGGCAGCGACAGCGACUGCGACUGCGACAGCGACAGCGACGUCGGCGUCUAACAAGAAGCAACAAAUGUAGGUCAAACUCUGUUAUUAACAUUUAAAAAGGCUCCUAAAAAAAAAAAAAUAAUAAUAAUAACGAAAGAAAAUAAUGGAGCGACAUUUAACUAUUUUAUUUUUUUUUGCCAUUUUGUGUCCUUUUUACGCUUUCACGUUUCACGAUUUGACGUCGGGUUUUUUGUCAGAGUUUUGCAUUGUACUAAAACAAAAAAAAAAAAGUAAAUAAAUAAAUGUUAUGUUGACGCGGCGGUAAAACACAUAAA